UUGGCGGGCCACAGUGGCUCCUAAAAUGAUUUUUAGCAUUUUCUACACCAUCUAUUGGGGAAAGGUGGUCAUUGCAGGGAAAAGGCAGAUGUAAAACAAUAAUAUAAAUGAAUAAUAGAAUUUUGCCGGAUUAAAAAGCCAAACGAGCCGCCACCGGCCCUCGGGCCCUAGUUUGCCCAUGCCUGGUCUAGACCCUUUUGUUUCUUCUCGAACACAGAAGCAGAACAAUUUAAAAACAUGAGAUGAGUUAAUCCCACCAGGACAAUCGUCCCAGAGAUAAAACCCACAGGUGUGCUUCAUUUAAUUAGAUUAGAAAGUGUGUGCCUGUUUCAUGGCUGUGGCAUUGAGGUCUCCUGCUGCUCCUCCUCCUCCUGCUGCUCCUUCCUCUGCACACCUGGCUUCAAUCACUUGUCAGUGAAACAAAGACCUGCUUUAUCCCAGUAUUGAUGCUUCGGCCAGAUCUGUGCCUCUUUGAGUUUGAGCUCUUUUCUCCUUUGGAAUAUAUACUUUUUUCCCCCCAAAAUUGUUUUAACUUUAUUUUCCCUCCAGUCCCCGAGAUCCUUUUUUGAACCCAGCAGACUCACUGUGAGAACUGUGUUAGAACAUCCAAGGCCGGCCAGCCACAGACUCCUGUUCAUCAAUUUCAGGAUUUGCUCCUAAUUCACCCCCCGCGGCUGCAGGAGUCUCCAAGGAAUCCCUGAAGCUUUUCUUCACUCACUCAAUUCGUGAUGCAGAAUUCCGUCGCUAAGCGAACCGUUCCUUUUAGAAAAAUGCACACAAUAGACUUUACAUAUUAUCUGAAUAUUCGUAUCUGGUAACAUUGUAAAUAACAUUUGUUUUAUAACAUUUAAAACAAAAUAUGUGGCUGUACACGUCAUUUUCGGAGGAUAUUUUUGUCCUUUUUACAGUGAGGAAAGAAAAACAGUUUUAGAAAACGUGAUAGAAAAUGUACAAUUUCUCAGCGUAUUUGUAUGAAACUGCGUCUCAGGGAGUCUUUGGAAGAUUUGUUGCUGUUGGAACUCGAUGAUGAACUUGUGAUGAGGAAGGAGUGAUGGUGGCGGGACGGACGAUCACGCUGCGUGCAUCUUCCCUGAUGUGUGCUGUGAUGGAUCGUCCGGGCUGACGGAACUCAACAAAAACCAACACGGCACACGGGCAGAUUUACGCACCCACACAGAAAUGUCAGUGAAAUGAACACAGGCAGUCACGAAAGAAGAAAGAUCUAACGUAAAUACACACAUUUGUCACCCAUGUGUUGAACAAAUGAUACGCGACUGUAUCUAAAUCAUACCCAACCUCUCUAUUAGAAUAAAUAAUGACAAAGAAUACCAUAAAAAUCCAGCAUUUUUCUGAACUACAAAUACACCUACUGGCUGUUUUUUGAAGUAUUCAGCGAUGUAAAUUAUUCACAUUUUGUGGAGCUGGAACUCGUGAGUCAUGACGAACUGUUUCGAACACUGGAUUUCUUUUUGUAAAAAGAGUGUAGAAAAAGGUGCAGUCGUGAUUCCAAAAUUCAGGCCCAGAAAACAGAAUUUGAAGUCAGUACAGGAGGUCCUUGGUUUACGAUGUCUUCGAUCUACGGCGUUUUGUGGUUAUGUUACCAUUUCAUUUCAUUUAUCAUUCCCUACAUAUGAGGUUAAACCUUGGCCAAUAGUUCCGGUGCGAACUGGUUGGCGAGCAGAGAUUGUGCUACAUUUUGCUUUCUUUCAUUUGGGUUGUUUUUUUAGAACGUUUUCC